rnacentral:rRNA from 2 species
UGCAGUCGAACGGUGAAGCCCAGCUUGCUGGGUGGAUCAGUGGCGAACGGGUGAGUAACACGUGAGCAACCUGCCCCUGACUCUGGGAUAAGCGCUGGAAACGGCGUCUAAUACUGGAUAUGUGACGUGACCGCAUGGUCUGCGUCUGGAAAGAAUUUCGGUUGGGGAUGGGCUCGCGGCCUAUCAGCUUGUUGGUGAGGUAAUGGCUCACCAAGGCGUCGACGGGUAGCCGGCCUGAGAGGGUGACCGGCCACACUGGGACUGAGACACGGCCCAGACUCCUACGGGAGGCAGCAGUGGGGAAUAUUGCACAAUGGGCGCAAGCCUGAUGCAGCAACGCCGCGUGAGGGAUGACGGCCUUCGGGUUGUAAACCUCUUUUAGCAGGGAAGAAGCGAAAGUGACGGUACCUGCAGAAAAAGCGCCGGCUAACUACGUGCCAGCAGCCGCGGUAAUACGUAGGGCGCAAGCGUUAUCCGGAAUUAUUGGGCGUAAAGAGCUCGUAGGCGGUUUGUCGCGUCUGCUGUGAAAUCCGGAGGCUCAACCUCCGGCCUGCAGUGGGUACGGGCAGACUAGAGUGCGGUAGGGGAGAUUGGAAUUCCUGGUGUAGCGGUGGAAUGCGCAGAUAUCAGGAGGAACACCGAUGGCGAAGGCAGAUCUCUGGGCCGUAACUGACGCUGAGGAGCG